rnacentral:rRNA from 1 species
UACGAAGGGGGCUAGCGUUGCUCGGAAUCACUGGGCGUAAAGGGUGCGUAGGCGGGUCUUUUAGUCAGGGGUGAAAUCCUGGAGCUCAACUCCAGAACUGCCUUUGAUACUGAAGAUCUUGAGUGCGGGAGAGGUGAGUGGAACUGCGAGUGUAGAGGUGAAAUUCGUAGAUAUUCGCAAGAACACCAGUGGCGAAGGCGGCUCACUGGCCCGGUACUGACGCUGAGGUGCGAAAGCGUGGGGAGCAAACAGG